GUGUGCAAUCAUAUUAGUACGAAUGCAUCGAAUCCCAUUGGAACUCCAAAGUUAAGCGUGCUUGGGCGAGAAUGGUAUUAAGAUGAGCUUUGUUGCAGGAC
rnacentral:rRNA from 1 species